rnacentral:tRNA from 1 species
AGGAAUAUAGUUAAAUAUAUAAUAUUUAUUUUGCUAAUAAAAGUUAUUUAAUAAAAUUAUUCUUA